GAAACGACUGCUAAUCCCGCAUAAUCCCUGAGGGGGAAAGAUUUAUCGCUCUAAGAUUGGCCCGCGGAAGAUUAGGUAGUUGGUGGGGUAAAGGCCUACCAAGCCGACGAUCUAUAGCUGGUCUGAGAGGACGAACAGCCACAUUGGAACUGAGACACGGUCCAGACUCCUACGGGAGGCAGCAGUGAGGAAUAUUGGGCAAUGGAGGAAACUCUGACCCAGCCAUGCCGCGUGAGUGAAGAAGGUUUUCGAAUUGUAAAGCUCUUUCGGAUGGGACGAUGAUGACGGUACCAUCUAAAGAAGCCCCGGCAAACUUCGUGCCAGCAGCCGCGGUAAUACGAAGGGGGCAAGCGUUGUUCGGAAUUACUGGGCGUAAAGGGUGUGUAGGCGGAUUUGUAAGAUAGUGGUGAAAUACCUGAGCUCAACUUAGGAAUUGCCAUUAUAACUAUAGAUCUGGAGUGACAGAGAGGAUAUUGGAAUACCCAGUGUAGAGGUGAAAUUCGUAGAUAUUGGGUAGAACACCAGUGGCGAAGGCGAGUAUCUGGCUGUCAACUGACGCUGAGGCACGAAAGCAUGGGGAUCAAACAGGAUUAGAUACCCUGGUAGUCCAUGCUGUAAAAGAGGAAUGCUAGUUGUCGGCAAAAGCCGGUG
rnacentral:rRNA from 1 species